rnacentral:rRNA from 1 species
UACAGGGGGGGCAAGCGUUGUUCGGAAUUACUGGGCGUAAAGGGCGCGUAGGCGGUCGUCCAAGUCGCGUGUGAAAGCCCCCGGCUCAACUGGGGAGGGUCACGCGAUACUGGUCGACUCGAAGGCAGGAGAGGGUAGUGGAAUUCCCGGUGUAGCGGUGAAAUGCGCAGAUAUCGGGAGGAACACCUAUGGCGAAGGCAGCUCGCUGGGACGUUACUGACGCUGAGACGCGAAAGCGUGGGGAGCAAACAGG